UGAAAACUCCGGUUCUGGUCCGAUCACCGUAGUUAAGCAUCAUCGGGUGUGGUCAGUUCUUGGGAGGGUGACCCCCUGGGAACAUCGCGUACCGU